rnacentral:lncRNA from 1 species
CUCGAUCUGAUUCCCCACAUGGUUUAGGGGUAAUUGAUUUUGUUUUUGACGUUUAAAGGUUUUAAAAAUCAUUGAAUUUUGUAUUAAAUGGGAAUUUCGACAUCAUUUCAGGAGAAGUUUAAAACAACAGGACUAUGGAAGGAUAUACGGUGCUACAUUGACAGUCAACUCUACGGUUUGUAGGUUGAAGUUUGCUUAACACGCUUCAACCGUCGAACUUGGUGCGGCUCAAUUGAAUAAGGAAAGCAGGGAGGUCAUGGACCUUAAAGACUUGUGCAGACUAAAACUGUGAUUGAGAUAUCUGCAGCAGUAGCUAGCAGCAGCUGAAGGGAAUGUUGAUCGAAAGAUGUGAACAGAGGCAAGGUGGCAAGGUUUUAGUAAUAGUUGUUAUAUGGUACAUUUACAUAACAUGAACUUUUACUUCCAGUUGAUUUCGACAUAACUAUAGUCUGUACAGUGUACAUAUUUCAGUAUUAAAAUCACAAGUUUACACAUUCUUAGAGUGGUUUAAUCCAUGUCUUUGACCGGUAUAAUUAUCGUUUGAAGCAAAGUUGGGUAAUCGGAGAUGAUACCAUAAAUGAAACUGCAUCUCCAUAAGCUAAUGAGGUGAUGUUAUUGGAUCUUGGUUCAUUGGCCGCCUUGGUUUUAAAAUGCGCGCAUAAUGCGUGAUGCGUCCGAUGCGCUGAUGAGAGCGCAUCACUACAACUGAUGCGUUGUGUUUACGUGAUGCGAGUAUAUUGCGCGCAUUUCGCAUGAUGCGCUCAUCGCAUAAUGCGCUCUGAUGCACGCAACAUUGUUUCUUAUGUUUUUGGCCCACAAGCACUGAUUUGGUGAAGGUUGUUAAUCAAGUGAGCAGCAACGCACGACAGAUGGGGAUUU